GAUGAACGCUGGCGGCGUGCCUAAUACAUGCAAGUCGAGCGAACAGACGAGGAGCUUGCUCCUCUGACGUUAGCGGCGGACGGGUGAGUAACACGUGGAUAACCUACCUAUAAGACUGGGAUAACUUCGGGAAACCGGAGCUAAUACUGGAUAAUAUAUUGAACCGCAUGGUUCAAUAGUGAAAGACGGUUUUGCUGUCACUUAUAGAUGGAUCCGCGCCGCAUUAGCUAGUUGGUAAGGUAACGGCUUACCAAGGCAACGAUGCGUAGCCGACCUGAGAGGGUGAUCGGCCACACUGGAACUGAGACACGGUCCAGACUCCUACGGGAGGCAGCAGUAGGGAAUCUUCCGCAAUGGGCGAAAGCUUGACGGAGCAACGCCGCGUAAGUGAUGAAGGUCUUCGGAUCGUAAAACUCUGUUAUUAGGGAAGAACAAAUGUGUAAGUAACUAUGCACGUCUUGACGGUACCUAAUCAGAAAGCCACGGCUAACUACGUG
rnacentral:rRNA from 1 species